rnacentral:rRNA from 1 species
GGAUUGCACAGACAACCAGGAUGUUGGCUUAGAAGCAGCCACUCAUUCAAAGAGUGCGUAAUAGCUCACUGGUCGAGUGAUCCUGCGCCGAAGAUUUCCGGGGCUAAAACUUACUACCGAAGCUACGGCAUCAGUAAUGAUGGGUAGGGGAGCUUCCCAUACGGGUUGAAGCAUGACCGUAAGGACAUGUGGACAGUAUGGGAGUGAGAAUGUUGGCAUGAGUAGCGAGAUGUGGGUGAGAAUCCCACAGGCCGUAAACCCAAGGUUUCCAGGGGAAGGUUCGUCCGCCCUGGGUUAGUCGGGACCUAAGCUGAGGCCGAAAGGCGUAGGUGAUGGACAACAGGUUGAUAUUCCUGUACUACCGAUAACCGUUUGAGAGAUGGGAUGACACAGUAGGAUAAGCUAAGCACACUGUUGGUUAUGUGUGCCCAAGCAUUGAGGCAGUCAGAGUAGGUAAAUCCGCUUUGACAAUGCUGGGAUGUGAUGGGGAGCGAAAUUUAGUAGCGAAGUAGCUGAUUUCACACUGUCAAGAAAAGUCUCUAUCGAGGUUAAAGGUACCCGUACCGCAAACCGACACAGGUGGGUGAGGAGAGUAUCCUAAGGCCCGCGAGAGAACUGUUGUUAAGGAACUCGGCAAAAUGACCCCGUAACUUAGGGAUAAGGGGUGCCACCAUACGGUGGCCGCAGAGAAUAGGCCCAAGCGACUGUUUACCAAAAACAUAGGUUUCUGCUAAGUCGCAAGACGAUGUAUAGGAGCUGACGCCUGCCCGGUGCUGGAAGGUUAAGGGGAUCUGUUAGAGCAAUCGAAGCAGUGAACUUAAGCCCCAGUAAACGGCGGCCGUAACUAUAACGGUCCUAAGGUAGCGAAAUUCCUUGUCGGGUAAGUUCCGACCCGCACGAAAGGCGUAACGAUUUGGGCACUGUCUCAACAACAGACUCGGUGAAAUUGUAAUUCCGGUGAAGAUGCCGGAUACCUGCGACAGGACGGAAAGACCCCAUGGAGCUUUACUGUAGCUUGACAUUGGGUC